rnacentral:lncRNA from 1 species
CAACGCCUACCUGUCUUUUUUCACAACCCUAAAUUCUCACUCACACUCCUAUCUACAUAUAUACCCUAUUUUACUCAUAAGGAUAACAACUACAAGCUUUCAUUGGCCGCAACCAACACAACCCUAAAUUCUCACUCACACUCCUAUCUACAUAUAUACCCUAUUUUACUCAUAAGGAUAACAACUACAAGCUUUCAUUGGCCGCAACCACUUCAUUUUCAUUCUUAA